rnacentral:rRNA from 1 species
UACAGAGGCGGCAAGCGUUGUUCGGAAUUAUUGGGCGUAAAGAGCACGUAGGCGGCCGCGCAAGUCGGUUGUGAAAGCCUUCCGCUCAACGGAAGGACGGCAUCCGAUACUGCAUGGCUCGAGUGCGGGAGGGGAGAGUGGAACUUCUGGUGGAGCGGUGAAAUGCGUAGAUAUCAGAAGGAACACCGGCGGCGAAGGCGACUCUCUGGACCGUAACUGACGCUGAGUGUGCGAAAGCUAGGGGAGCAAACGG